AUCGAUAGUUUUUUUUGGCGAUUAAUCGAUUGUUUGGCUGUAAAACGUUCGAAAUAUUAUACAACUUAAUUCUUCAGCCGUUUAUCGAAUCGAAUCUGUAUUUGUUGUUUUAUUUUUUCAUUUGAUCAAAGAAUUCAAAUUGUUCAAUAUUCUGGCAUUGAUCGAUUGGAAACAAAGCCACAACCAAUUAAAUUUGUCAAUACCAGACCGUUGAUGAGAAAGAAAAAACACAGAAGAAACCUUGUUCAUUUUUUUUCGUGGUUGUUAUUAUUGCUAUACCUUGAUUAUUGGCGAAUGUUUCGUUAACGAAAAAUUUCUUUGUCCAUAUGUUCAGUUUUUUUUAUAUGCCCAUCCGACAAUUGCCAAAAUUAUCGAUACGACAAUCACUACCAUCAUCACAGUAGCACAAUUCAUAAUAAUCAAAAAUUUGUCAGGUUAUUGUGUUUGUCUAUCGAUUUUUUCAUUAUAAUUGUUAAAUAAUGGCAACAUGUACAACAAACGUCUGGAACAAAACAGAAAAAUUCUCAAUCAAAAAAAAAAAAGAAGAAGCUACAAUAAAGAAUUAAAUUAACGGAAUCGAUGGUUAUCGAAUGGAAGAUCAAUUUUCAAAGAUUUUUAUCAAUAAAAAAAAAUUCGUUUCAAAAUUAAAUGAAAAAAAACAACAGUAAACAAUGGCUGUCAUCAUCAUCAGUUUUCGUUUUUUUCAAUAAAUGAAGAAUCAGUGUUUCAAAGAAAUCGAAAUUCGAAAGAAUCGCAACUAUUAGAACAACAUGGUAGUGUGUGAUGUGUGACAAGAACCAGAUGUGUGCUUGAAGAGAGGACAAAAAAAAAAUUUUUUUUCUCGCAAUAAAUCACAAUUUGAAAUUAUUAGAUUUACACAUUCAGGUUCAGUAUUUCAAUUUGUCUUCUUUUUUUUGUUCGCUGUUUUUUUUGUUUGUUUGAACAACAACCGACAAUUCUUUUCUAUCCCCUACUCGGAAACAUAGAAUGAAUGAAUUUCACGUGGGAAAAACAAAACAAAACGAUCAUAAUUUUUCAUUAUUAAUUUAUAAAGAUAGAUUUGGAAAAUUAAAUUACCGAAUCGGGAAUUAAAAAAAAAAUGCAGACAAUCAACCAUGAAAACAUUCAUACACCUGUUCUCUAGUAUUGUCGUGAAUGGUGGCAACGAACAAACAAACAAACAAACAAAUGUUCCGUGGUAAAAACAAGUUCGUUAUUGUCCAUUGUCUCAUGUUGGAAUUCUUCAUUUUAAUUCCAAUUGGGAAUUUUUUUUUCUUUUCGUCGUUGUUUCGGGAUAGAAUAGUUUUUUUUUGCCCAUUGUCUGUCGUCAUC